CCUUCGAUAGCUCAGUUGGUAGAGGGGAGGACUGUAGUUUGAUAAUUACAGGCAUCCUUAGGUUGCUGGUUCGAAGGA
rnacentral:tRNA from 1 species